rnacentral:rRNA from 1 species
GACGUAGGGCGCAAGCGUUGUCCGGAUUUAUUGGGCGUAAAGAGUUCGUAGGCGGCGCAGAAAGUAGGGUGUGAAAGCCCUCGGCUCAACCGAGGAAUUGCGCUCUAAACUACUGUGCUCGAGGAAUCUAGAGGUGAGCGGAACUGAUGGUGGAGCGGUGAAAUGCGUUGAUAUCAUCAGGAACACCGGAGGCGAAGGCGGCUCACUGGGGAUUUUCUGACGCUGAGGAACGAAAGCCAGGGGAGCGAACGGG